CCCUUAGAUGUCCGGGGCCGCACGCGCGCUACACUGAAGGAAUCAGCGUGGCUUUCUCCCUGACCCGAAAGGGUUGGGAAACCCGUUGAAUCGCCUUCGUGAUAGGGAUUGGGGCUUGAAAUUGUUCCCCAUGAACGAGGAAUUCCCAGUAAGCGCGAGUCAUAAGCUCGCGUUGAUUACGUCCCUGCCCUUUGUACACACCGCCCGUCGCUACUACCGAUUGAACGGUUUAGUGAGGGCCUCGGAUUGGUCUCGGCCCGCUCUUUACCGGGCGGCGCCGUUGGUCGAGAAGACGCUCGAACUUGAUCGUUUAGAGGAAGUAAAAGUCGUAACA
rnacentral:rRNA from 1 species